GGCUGUGUAGUACAGUGGUAAGGAGCUGGGCUGGUAACCGAAGGGUUGCCGGUUCGAUUCCCCACUGGCA